GUGCCCGCUUCGGCAGCACAUACACAAAAGCUGGAGCGAUACAGAGAAGAUUAGCAUGGCCCCUGCACGAGGAUGACACGCAAAUUCGUGAAGUGUUCCGUGUUUUU
ensembl:snRNA U6 U6 spliceosomal RNA